rnacentral:misc_RNA from 1 species
AAAAAGAAGAAGACAACUAUCUCUAUUCGUCCUUGGGAGACUCUUUUUGCAUGUGUUUUGCUCAUAUGCCAAAUGUGAUGUUUUAGUGAGAUUUAGGGUCCUCGGUAGACUCCGGGAGACUCUUUCCUCAUUUGUUUUACCCAUAUGCCAAAUGUGAUGGUUUAGUGAGAUUUAAGGGUCCUUGGGAGACUCUUACUGCAUGAUUUAAGGGUCCUCGGAAGACUCUUUAGGGGUUAGAAGAUUUAGGGGUUAGUCCAUAUGCCAAAUGUGUUGGUUUAGUUAAAUAAAACAAUUCAUACAGCGUAAAUUU